AACGAACGCUGGCGGCAGGCCUAAAACAUGCAAGUCGAACGAACCUUCGGGUUAGUGGCGCACGGGUGCGUAACGCGUGGGAAUAUACCUCUGGGUGCGGAACAACGCCUGGAAACGGACGCUAAUACCGCAUAAUAUCUACGGAUCAAAGAUUUAUCGCCCAGAGAUUAGCCCGCGUCUGAUUAGCUAGUUGGUGAGGUAUGGCUCACCAAGGCGACGAUCAGUAGCUGGUCUGAGAGGAUGAUCAGCCACACUGGAACUGAGACACGGUCCAGACUCCUACGGGAGGCAGCAGUUGGGAAUAUUGGACAAUGGGGGAAACCCUGAUCCAGCCAUGCCGCGUGAGUGAAGAAGGCCUUAGGGUUGUAAAGCUCUUUCGGCUGUGAAGAUAAUGACAGUAGCAGAAGAGGAAGCUCCGGCUAAAUUCGUGCCAGCAGCCGCGGUAA
rnacentral:rRNA from 1 species